GGAAAGGCUUUACUUAAAGCCACACAACAGGUUUAGGACAGACCCGG
rfam:Homo sapiens chromosome 20, GRCh38 reference primary assembly.